rfam:Heligmosomoides polygyrus genome assembly, scaffold: HPBE_scaffold0004550
GCGCCGGUGGUGUAAGGCGAACAUCACUGCGCGGAAAGCAGAAGAUGCGGGUUCGAGUCCCGCCUGGCGCA